UACGUAGGGUGCGAGCGUUGUCCGGAAUUAUUGGGCGUAAAGGGCUCGUAGGCGGUUUGUCGCGUCGGGAGUGAAAACCUUGGGCUUAACUCGGGGCUUGCUUUCGAUACGGGCAGACUGGAGGUAUGCAGGGGAGAACGGAAUUCCUGGUGUAGCGGUGAAAUGCGCAGAUAUCAGGAGGAACACCGGUGGCGAAGGCGGUUCUCUGGGCAUGACCUGACGCUGAGGAGCGAAAGUGUGGGGAGCGAACAGG
rnacentral:rRNA from 1 species